AGCAGCCGCGGUAAUUCCAGCUCCAAUAGCGUAUAUUAAAGUUGUUGCAGUUAAAAAGCUCGUAGUUGAAUUUCGGGAUCAAAGGAUCGGUCAUGCCUUGGUAUGUACUGGUUUUAUUGGUUCUCACCUUCUAAAGAACCAUAAUGUCAUUCAUUUGAUGUUAUGGGGAAUUAGGACUGUUACCUUGAAAAAAUUUAGAGUGUUUAAAGCAGGCUUACGCUUGAAUACAUUAGCAUGGAAUAAUGAAAUAGGACAUCAGAUUCUAUUUUGUUGGUUUCUAGGAUCGAUGUAAUGAUUAAUAGGGAUAGUUGGGGGCAUUAGUAUUCAAUUGUCAGAGGUGAAAUUCUUGGAUUUAUUGAAGACUAACUACUGCGAAAGCAUUUGCCAAGGAUGUUUUCAUUAAUCAAGAACGAAAGUUAGGGGAUCGAAGACGAUCAGAUACCGUCGUAGUCUUAACCAUAAACUAUGCCGACUAGGGAUCGGAUGAUGUUAAUUUUAUAAUGACUCAUUCGGCACCUUA
rnacentral:sRNA from 1 species